rnacentral:rRNA from 1 species
CCUACGGGGGGCUGCAGUGGGGAAUCUUGCGCAAUGGGCGAAAGCCUGACGCAGCAACGCCGCGUGCGGGAAGAAGGCCCUCGGGUUGUAAACCGCUUUCAGAAGGAACGAAACUGACGGUACUUUCAGAAGAAGGUGCGGCCAACUACGUGCCAGCAGCCGCGGUGACACGUAGGCACCAAGCGUUGUCCGGAUUUAUUGGGCGUAAAGAGCUCGUAGGCGGUUCGAUAAGUCGGGUGUGAAAUCUUUGGGCUCAACCCAAAGCGUGCAUUCGAUACUGUUGUGACUAGAGUUCGGUAGGGGAGUGGGGAAUUCCUAGUGUAGCGGUGAAAUGCGCAGAUAUUAGGAGGAACACCGGUGGCGAAGGCGCCACUCUGGGCCGAAACUGACGCUGAGGAGCGAAAGCGUGGGUAGCAAACAGGAUUAGAUACCCCGGUAGUC